AACGAACGCUGGCGGCAUGCCUAACACAUGCAAGUCGAACGAGACCUUCGGGUCUAGUGGCGCACGGGUGCGUAACGCGUGGGAACCUGCCCUUAGGUUCGGAAUAACUCCCCGAAAGGGGUGCUAAUACCGGAUAAUGUCUUCGGACCAAAGAUUUAUCGCCUUUGGAUGGGCCCGCGUUGGAUUAGCUAGUUGGUAGGGUAAAAGCCUACCAAGGCGACGAUCCAUAACUGGUCUGAGAGGAUGAUCAGCCACACUGGGACUGAGACACGGCCCAGACUCCUACGGGAGGCAGCAGAGGGGAAUAUUGGACAAUGGGCGAAAGCCUGAUCCAGCAAUGCCGCGUGAGUGAUGAAGGCCUUAGGGUUGUAAAGCUCUUUUACCCGGGAUGAUAAUGACAGUACCGGGAGAAUAAGCUCCGGCUAACUCCGUG
rnacentral:rRNA from 1 species